rnacentral:rRNA from 1 species
UACGAAGGGGGCAAGCGUUGUUCGGAAUUACUGGGCGUAAAGGGCGCGUAGGCGGAACUGCAAGUCAGGGGUGAAAGGCCUGGGCUCAACCCGGGAAUUGCCCUUGAGACUGUGGAUCUAGAGUGCGGGAGAGGGUGGCGGAAUACCCAGUGUAGAGGUGAAAUUCGUAGAUAUUGGGUAGAACACCGGUGGCGAAGGCGGCCACCUGGCCCGCAACUGACGCUGAGGCGCGAAAGCGUGGGGAGCAAACAGG